rnacentral:rRNA from 1 species
UGAGGAAUAUUGGUCAAUGGGCGGAAGCCUGAACCAGCCAUGCCGCGUGCAGGAUGACGGCCCUACGGGUUGUAAACUGCUUUUCCCCGGGAAGAAUAAGCCCCUCGUGAGGGGUGAUGCCGGUACCGGGGGAAUAAGGAUCGGCUAACUCCGUGCCAGCAGCCGCGGUAAUACGGAGGAUCCGAGCGUUAUCCGGAUUUACUGGGUUUAAAGGGUGCGUAGGCGGGCGCCUAAGUCAGCGGUGAAAUGCAGCGGCUCAACCGUUGAACUGCCGUUGAAACUGGGCGCCUUGGAUGCGGUCGAGGCCGGCGGAAUGCGUGGUGUAGCGGUGAAAUGCUUAGAUAUCACGCAGAACGCCAAUUGCGAAGGCAGCUGGCCGGGCCGCAAUCGACGCUGAGGCACGAAAGCGUGGGGAUCAAACAGG